rnacentral:rRNA from 1 species
CAAUAGCGUAUAUUUAAGUUGUUGCAGUUAAAAAGCUCGUAGUUGGAUUUCGGUUAAGAGCGACCGGUCCGCCGUUUGGUGUGCACUGGUUGGUUUUAACUUCCUGUAGAGGACGUGCUCUGGGUUUAACGACCUGGACUCGGAGUCUACGUGGUUACUUUGAAAAAAUUAGAGUGUUCAAAGCGGGCUUACGCUUGAAUAUUUCAGCAUGGAAUAACACUAUAGGACUCCUGUCCUAUUUCGUUGGUCUCGGGACGGGAGUAAUGAUUAAGAGGAACAGUUGGGGGCAUUCGUAUUUCAUUGUCAGAGGUGAAAUUCUUGGAUUUAUGAAAGACGAACUUCUGCGAAAGCACUUGCCAAGGAUGUUUUCAUUA